AGUGAACGCUGGCGGUAGGCCUAACACAUGCAAGUCGAACGGCAGCACAGUAAGAGCUUGCUCUUACGGGUGGCGAGUGGCGGACGGGUGAGGAAUACGUCGGAAUCUACUUUUUCGUGGGGGAUAACGUAGGGAAACUUACGCUAAUACCGCAUACGACCUACGGGUGAAAGCAGGGGAUCUUCGGACCUUGCGCGAUUGAAUGAGCCGAUGUCGGAUUAGCUAGUUGGCGGGGUAAAGGCCCACCAAGGCGACGAUCCGUAGCUGGUCUGAGAGGAUGAUCAGCCACACUGGAACUGAGACAGGGUCCCGACUCCUACGGGAGGCAGCAGUAGGGAAUAUUGGACAAUGGGCGCGAGCCUGAUCCAGCCAUACCGCGUGGGUGAAGAAGGCCUACGGGUUGUAAAGCCCUUCUGUUGGGAAAGAAAAGCAGCAGGUUAAUACCCCGCUGUUCCGACGGUACCCAAAGAAUAAGCACCGGCUAACUUCGUG
rnacentral:rRNA from 1 species